rnacentral:rRNA from 1 species
ACCGAGUUAUCAACUCCCAAACCCCUGUGAACAUACCUUUAACGUUGCCUCGGCGGGACCGCCCCGGCGCCCACUCGCGGCCCGGACCCAGGCGCCCGCCGGAGGACCCAAACUCUUGCUUUGAACAGUGGCAUACUCUCUGAGUCUCACAAACAAAAAUGAAUCAAAACUUUCAACAACGGAUCUCUUGGCUCUGGCAUCGAUGAAGAACGCAGCGAAAUGCGAUAAGUAAUGUGAAUUGCAGAAUUCAGUGAAUCAUCGAAUCUUUGAACGCACAUUGCGCCCGCCAGCAUUCUGGCGGGCAUGCCUGUCCGAGCGUCAUUUCAACCCUCAGGACCCCUUCGGGGGACCUGGUGUUGGGGGCCGGCCGCCUCGCGCGCCGCCCCCGAAAUGCAGUGGCGACCUCGCCGCAGCCUCCCCUGCGUAGUAGCACAACCUCGCACCGGAGCGCGGAGACGGUCACGCCGUAAAACGCCCAACUUUCACGAGUUGACCUCGGAUCAGGUAGGAAUACCCGC